GGGGUCGGUCCUCAGUGCGCCAUCGCCCACAAUGUACCCCAGGUACUUCAGGUACUUAUAGCAGAACCUAGACUUUUUCUUUCCUAUUGUCAGGUUUGCCGUCUCCAGGCACUUUGCGACUUCCUCUAGCAGCUUUACGUGCUCCUCAAACGUUCGGGAAAUCACCAACAGGUCGUCCAAAUACACAAACACGACUCGAUACUCUGAAGCGGAUACGCAUCUUUGACGGUUAGAGUAUUCAGUUUCCGAGCAUCCAAACACAGCCGGUUUUUUCCAGGCUUACGGACCAGCGUCACUCGAUUGCUCCACGGGCUUUCGCUCAGCUCGAUUACUCCAAGACGCAACAUUUCGUCGACUUCCGCAAACAACAGCUCCUGUACCGCCGGGGAUACCGGGUAAAAGCGUUCUUUUACUGGCACGGCUCCCUCCACCAGGCGUAUCUCGUGUUUUACCAUCGUCGUCCUUCCCAAUCCGUGCUUGUCAAAGCACCGAAAUUUGUCUUUCACCUGUUCCAUGCGUACUUGCUGCGACUGGGUUAAAUUAUGAGGCCUACUAUAUGCGGAGCCAAUCCAAACUUUCGCCAGAAAUCGACCCCCAGAUACAGUGCUUGCUUCAAUGACGGACACAAGAAUAACUCUAUCGGGUGCUUCUGGCCUUUGUAUGCCAUCACUACCGUCACAUGGCCUAGGAUCUGAUGAGGUGUGCCGCCCGCAGCUCACUGAUGCCCCCGUAUCGAGCAGUCCCAUCAGCGUCUUCGGGCCCAGUCUCACGUGCGCAAACGGCCUCUCGUCCCGGCUUAAUGCAGAACCGAUUGCUGCACACACGCCACGUCGUUUCCUCUGGCGUAUCUGGAACCGGUCCCGAGCCCUCUUUGCUCUAGUCGACCUCGUUAGGAUUAUUUCCGCCACCUGGCCCCCCAGUAUUCUUCUUCUGGCCUGGUUAUAUCGCUGUCGUCUUUCCUGUAACGGCUUACGCUCGGACCAUCUCGCCU